rnacentral:rRNA from 1 species
GACGAACGCUGGCGGCGUGCUUAACACAUGCAAGUCGAACGGAAAGGCCUGCUUUCCCUUGUGGAUUGCGGGUACUCGGGUGGCGAACGGGUGAGUAACACGUGAGUGAUCUGCCCCCAACUUGGGUAUAAGCCUGGGAAACUGGGGCUAAUUCCCGAUAGGACUGCAGGGUGGUGCCUGUGGUGGAAAACGAUUUUCUAGUGGUUGGGGAUGAGCUCGCGGCCUAUCAGCUUGUUGGUGGGGUAAUGGCCUACCAAGGCGGCGACGGGUAGCCGGAGGGGGCGGGUGGACGGCGGCAUGAGAAGUGGGUUACGGCCAUUAGGACGACGAGAGGCAGCAGUGGGGUACAUGGGGCAGCGGGGGGGAGUCUGAUGCAGCGAGGGAGAGUCGGAGAUGGCGGUCUUGGGUUAAUAAUCUCCUUUCGACGGCGAGGAAGCCACCUGGUUGGAAGGGUGGUGACGGUAGUGGGAGAAGAAGCACCGGCUAACUACGUG